UGAUAAAAAGAGGAAAAUAAAAACACCCUCUACUUUUACCAUCCAUUGACACAGUCGUCACGACAGUGCCCACUCUUCUCUAUCUCGCCACUUCCAACCGGUACUUUCUCUCUCUUUCAUCGCACAUAGGCAAGAAAUUCUCUGGUAUUAAUUUGAUGGGGAAGGGUUCGAAGAGCGCGGCAUGCAAGUCCACAUCACACCAGCUCUUCAAGGACAGGGCGAAGAAUCGCGUGGAUGAUCUCCAGGGGGUCUUUAGUGAUCUCCAAUCAGCUAGGAAGGAGAGCCGGUCAAUUGAUGUGGCUGUGCUUGAAGAGCAAGUUCACCAGAUGCUUCGUGAGUGGAAGUCUGAGCUUAACGAGCCGUCCCCAGCUUCUUCUCUGCAGCAGGGAGGGAGCCUUGGUUUUUCAUCUGAUAUUUGUCGGCUGCUGCAGCUUUGUGAGGAGGAAGAUGACGCAACUAGUGCGUUAGCUGCACCAAAACCAGACCCUGAUGCACAGAAGGCUGUUAAUGGAUAUACUUCUCAAGAGAAUUUUAAUAUUACCAAGGGUCUUCAAGAACAAGGCUUCCAGUUGGUGGAGCAAUGCAAAAAUGCUGCCAUGGGAGUUAACAUGGAAAUGAACAAUAUGAAUGUGCCUUCACAGCUAGAUUAUCAUUCAUAUGAUUUCCAUCAAGAUUUUGAACAGCCGUAUUUUAUAGGCUUUGAUGGCACGGGGUUCAUCGGUGAGGAUGUUAUGCCUCAGAUUUCUGGGUAUCAACCAAAUAUCAGCCCCCCACCGUCUGCUUUCUUGGGGCCAAAAUGUGCCCUUUGGGACUGCACUAGACCAGCAUUGGGGUUGGAAUGGUGUCAAAAGUCUGAUGACUAUUGCAGUAUCUAUCAUGCUGGGCUUGCACCUAGUGAAGGCUAUUUUGGUAGGCCUCCUGUUGUUCGACCGAGAGGCAUUGGCUUAAAGGAUAAUUUACUUUUUGCUGCACUUGGUGCAAAGGCGCAAGGAAAAGAUGUUGGCAUUCCUGAGUGUGAGGGUGCUGCUACAACAAAAUCACCUUGGAAUGCACCUGAGCUCUUUGAUCUCACUGUUCUGGAUGGCGAAACAAUCAGGGAGUGGCUGUUUUUUGAUAAACCGCGCAGAGCCUUUGAGAGUGGUAACAGGAAGCAGCGAUCACUUCCAGAUUAUAAUGGGAGGGGUUGGCAUGAGUCCCGAAAACAAGUGAUGAAUGAAUUUGGAGGGUUGAAGAGAUCCUACUACAUGGAUCCUCAGCCGAUGGAGAAUUUUGAGUGGCACCUUUAUGAAUACGAGAUCAACAAGUAUGAUGUGUGCGCAUUAUACAGACUUGAAGUAAAGCGUGUUGAUGGCAAGAAGAGUCCUAAAGGGAAGUUAGGCAAUGAUUCUGUUGCUGAUCUGCAAAAGCAGAUGGGCAGGCUGAGUGCUGAGUUCCCAAAUGAGAAGCAGCGAGUCGUCAAAGGAAGGGGAAAGAGCAAUUUGAAGGAGGGAAGUGGGAGAAUUUACUCUGGUUCGAACGCAAUGGGAGCAAAUCCAGGUGAAGGGCUUGAAUAUACAAGAGGGGCACCAUACGAUUAUCUUGUGGAAGAUAUCAAUGGGUACUACAUAACAUGAUGAUGGUUCUGGGAACGAAAAGAGGCUCUCUCUAUCCGAGUACAUAUAAUUGCUCUUUGAUUUCACUCGGCCUCGCCUCCAGGUCUGUAUGAAGACUAUGAAGGAUAGGAGACGGAGACGGGGCUUGUGGUGGUUGCUGGUGUGAAUCGAUGUAGCGAUUCUAGCACUAGGGUUAAACCAGAUAGAAGUCAAUCAAGAGGUGUAACAUGAAUCACAUCGGAAAUUAGCCACAAAGAGGUCUAGGGUUUAUAUCAAUUUGAUACAUUUAUUCCACAUAUUUCUAAUAGAAAAUUAAAAACGAUAAUUUUUUCUCACAGUAUUUAAUGAUACUAUUCCCUUA